GGUUAAGCGACUAAGCGUACACGGUGGAUGCCCUGGCAGUCAGAGGCGAUGAAGGACGUGCUAAUCUGCGAUAAGCGUCGGUAAGGUGAUAUGAACCGUUAUAACCGGCGAUUUCCGAAUGGGGAAACCCAGUGUGUUUCGACACACUAUCAUUAACUGAAUCCAUAGGUUAAUGAGGCGAACCGGGGGAACUGAAACAUCUAAGUACCCCGAGGAAAAGAAAUCAACCGAGAUUCCCCCAGUAGCGGCGAGCGAACGGGGAGCAGCCCAGAGCCUGAAUCAGUGUGUGUGUUAGUGGAAGCGUCUGGAAAGGCGCGCGAUACAGGGUGACAGCCCCGUACACAAAAAUGCACAUGCUGUGAGCUCGAUGAGUAGGGCGGGACACGUGGUAUCCUGUCUGAAUAUGGGGGGACCAUCCUCCAAGGCUAAAUACUCCUGACUGACCGAUAGUGAACCAGUACCGUGAGGGAAAGGCGAAAAGAACCCCGGCGAGGGGAGUGAAAAAGAACCUGAAACCGUGUACGUACAAGCAGUGGGAGCACGCUUAGGCGUGUGACUGCGUACCUUUUGUAUAAUGGGUCAGCGACUUAUAUUCUGUAGCAAGGUUAACCGAAUAGGGGAGCCGAAGGGAAACCGAGUCUUAACUGGGCGUUAAGUUGCAGGGUAUAGACCCGAAACCCGGUGAUCUAGCCAUGGGCAGGUUGAAGGUUGGGUAACACUAACUGGAGGACCGAACCGACUAAUGUUGAAAAAUUAGCGGAUGACUUGUGGCUGGGGGUGAAAGGCCAAUCAAACCGGGAGAUAGCUGGUUCUCCCCGAAAGCUAUUUAGGUAGCGCCUCGUGAAUUCAUCUCCGGGGGUAGAGCACUGUUUCGGCAAGGGGGUCAUCCCGACUUACCAACCCGAUGCAAACUGCGAAUACCGGAGAAUGUUAUCACGGGAGACACACGGCGGGUGCUAACGUCCGUCGUGAAGAGGGAAACAACCCAGACCGCCAGCUAAGGUCCCAAAGUCAUGGUUAAGUGGGAAACGAUGUGGGAAGGCCCAGACAGCCAGGAUGUUGGCUUAGAAGCAGCCAUCAUUUAAAGAAAGCGUAAUAGCUCACUGGUCGAGUCGGCCUGCGCGGAAGAUGUAACGGGGCUAAACCAUGCACCGAAGCUGCGGCAGCGACGCUUAUGCGUUGUUGGGUAGGGGAGCGUUCUGUAAGCCUGCGAAGGUGUGCUGUGAGGCAUGCUGGAGGUAUCAGAAGUGCGAAUGCUGACAUAAGUAACGAUAAAGCGGGUGAAAAGCCCGCUCGCCGGAAGACCAAGGGUUCCUGUCCAACGUUAAUCGGGGCAGGGUGAGUCGACCCCUAAGGCGAGGCCGAAAGGCGUAGUCGAUGGGAAACAGGUUAAUAUUCCUGUACUUGGUGUUACUGCGAAGGGGGGACGGAGAAGGCUAUGUUGGCCGGGCGACGGUUGUCCCGGUUUAAGCGUGUAGGCUGGUUUUCCAGGCAAAUCCGGAAAAUCAAGGCUGAGGCGUGAUGACGAGGCACUACGGUGCUGAAGCAACAAAUGCCCUGCUUCCAGGAAAAGCCUCUAAGCAUCAGGUAACAUCAAAUCGUACCCCAAACCGACACAGGUGGUCAGGUAGAGAAUACCAAGGCGCUUGAGAGAACUCGGGUGAAGGAACUAGGCAAAAUGGUGCCGUAACUUCGGGAGAAGGCACGCUGAUAUGUAGGUGAGGUCCCUCGCGGAUGGAGCUGAAAUCAGUCGAAGAUACCAGCUGGCUGCAACUGUUUAUUAAAAACACAGCACUGUGCAAACACGAAAGUGGACGUAUACGGUGUGACGCCUGCCCGGUGCCGGAAGGUUAAUUGAUGGGGUUAGCGCAAGCGAAGCUCUUGAUCGAAGCCCCGGUAAACGGCGGCCGUAACUAUAACGGUCCUAAGGUAGCGAAAUUCCUUGUCGGGUAAGUUCCGACCUGCACGAAUGGCGUAAUGAUGGCCAGGCUGUCUCCACCCGAGACUCAGUGAAAUUGAACUCGCUGUGAAGAUGCAGUGUACCCGCGGCAAGACGGAAAGACCCCGUGAACCUUUACUAUAGCUUGACACUGAACAUUGAGCCUUGAUGUGUAGGAUAGGUGGGAGGCUUUGAAGUGUGGACGCCAGUCUGCAUGGAGCCGACCUUGAAAUACCACCCUUUAAUGUUUGAUGUUCUAACGUUGACCCGUAAUCCGGGUUGCGGACAGUGUCUGGUGGGUAGUUUGACUGGGGCGGUCUCCUCCUAAAGAGUAACGGAGGAGCACGAAGGUUGGCUAAUCCUGGUCGGACAUCAGGAGGUUAGUGCAAUGGCAUAAGCCAGCUUGACUGCGAGCGUGACGGCGCGAGCAGGUGCGAAAGCAGGUCAUAGUGAUCCGGUGGUUCUGAAUGGAAGGGCCAUCGCUCAACGGAUAAAAGGUACUCCGGGGAUAACAGGCUGAUACCGCCCAAGAGUUCAUAUCGACGGCGGUGUUUGGCACCUCGAUGUCGGCUCAUCACAUCCUGGGGCUGAAGUAGGUCCCAAGGGUAUGGCUGUUCGCCAUUUAAAGUGGUACGCGAGCUGGGUUUAGAACGUCGUGAGACAGUUCGGUCCCUAUCUGCCGUGGGCGCUGGAGAACUGAGGGGGGGCUGCUCCUAGUACGAGAGGACCGGAGUGGACGCAUCACUGGUGUUCGGGUUGUCAUGCCAAUGGCACUGCCCGGUAGCUAAAUGCGGAAGAGAUAAGUGCUGAAAGCAUCUAAGCACGAAACUUGCCCCGAGAUGAGUUCUCCCUGACCCUUUAAGGGUCCUGAAGGAACGUUGAAGACGACGACGUUGAUAGGCCGGGUGUGUAAGCGCAGCGAUGCGUUGAGCUAACCGGUACUAAUGAACCGUGAGGCUUAACCUU
rnacentral:rRNA from 1 species